ensembl:lncRNA
CGGAUUUAGAAACGUCCUUAUUUUCAGAGAAUAGCAUAGCAUAGAAAAUGAGAUGUGAAAUGGAAACUUACCUUAGAAAUCAUAGCCAGAGAUAGGAUAAUUAAGUUGCACUCUACAUCACAAUAGCGGUUAGCAGCUGUGGUGAAUAACAUUUAUUCCAUGACUCACAUCAUUACAUCUGUUGCACACUGCUGGUGUCAGUGCGCACGCAUAUGUGUUUUCUUUCUUGCCGCCAGGAACCUGUUCAAAAUGGAAUUGAUUGGAUUGUGAAUGAAGCCAGAUCUGAAGUAGACUGACAACUCAGCGUUCUGAGAAUCUGAGCUAUACCCAUUCAGGAUGGCCUACAGGACACUUCUAACAGAUUUGCUGCUAUCUGGCCCUGAGCACACUGACUGGCCAUAACACUGCAGCUAUCAGGACCUGAAAAUGGAGGGAUAUUCAGUAAGGCUGAGAGCAUCGAAUGACCAAAAAAAAAGUAAGACGCUGAGAAAUAUAACAUGUUUAUCCACUCACAAAUGCCCCCAAGGGGUUGUAAAUCAUGUUGUACAUGGUGGCAUAUUUCUUAUUUGUCACAGAUGUUGUGUUUUCAUGCAUAUAAGUUGCUUGAAAAUAAGCAAAAGGCAUACAGAACUCUAUAAAGUAAUGUAUAUAAAAAACAAUCCAAAAACAUGUUGGUACAUUUGAUGCUAAAGGGGAUUUCACUUGAGAAUACUUGACUGGUAUUUUAUGUUACAAACAUGUCGUUUUUCACUUUUCACAAGAUAAAUUAAAA